CUACGGGAGGCAGCAGUGGGGAAUAUUGGACAAUGGGCGAAAGCCUGAUCCAGCCAUGCCGCGUGUGUGAAGAAGGCCUUCGGGUUGUAAAGCACUUUCAGUGGGGAAGAAAGCCUUGGGGCUAAUACCCUCGAGGAAGGACAUCACCCACAGAAGAAGCACCGGCUAACUCCGUGCCAGCAGCCGCGGUAAUACGGAGGGUGCGAGCGUUAAUCGGAAUUACUGGGCGUAAAGCGCGCGUAGGCGGUCUGAUAAGCCGGUUGUGAAAGCCCCGGGCUCAACCUGGGAACGGCAUCCGGAACUGUCAGGCUAGAGUGCAGGAGAGGAAGGUAGAAUUCCCGGUGUAGCGGUGAAAUGCGUAGAGAUCGGGAGGAAUACCAGUGGCGAAGGCGGCCUUCUGGACUGACACUGACGCUGAGGUGCGAAAGCGUGGGUAGCAAACAGGAUUAGAUACCCGGGUAGUC
rnacentral:rRNA from 1 species